GAAGAGUCAGUUAGGCUUUGGCCACCACCGUGGAGGGACGCGAGCCGUGUGACCUCCUGCGCUGUCCUCACCGUCCAGCCUCGCUCCCUCACACACAGACCAGCGCGUCUCUCACUGUGUUGUGAUAACUUCUUCCGCUUCGUGACCACCACCAUGACGAACUUCUCUUUUGUAUAGAGUGCAUGUGUGGCCGACCAGACUGUCACCUGUUCCAGCCAGCCUGAGCCUGACUGUGAUUUAGAUGUGAGGCUGUGCACCAGACGACCCAACAGUGAAAUGCUCGAGUGUUCAACAACUAAACCUCAAAUAAUAAGACUGUUAAACAAACCAGCUACAACCUUCCAUGGGACAAAGUCAGCGCCACUCACACACUCCCUCUCACUCUUGAAAAAAAACGAUUAUACAAAGUUUUUUAUAUACUUUUUUCUGGAUAAAAAAUAAAACAUCAGUGCUGUAAAAACUUCCACUGAUGUAGUUUCAUAUUUUUUAUUUAACCCAAUCAGUGAAAAAGAGAAGACAUAAUUGAUGGACUCAGUGAGGAAGAAGAUGACCUCUGAGACACAAAACAUCACACGCCAUCAUCAACAACAACAACCAUCACUGUGACCCUUCUACAGUAUAUUUUCUCUGAACUCGUUUAGUUUCCGUUAAGAAAAGAAUCAAACUUUAAGACGUGUAUACUCCCCAGGGUGAACUAUGAUGGUGAUGAUGAUGACACACAACUGAGAUGAAUGAACCUCACCACACUCACCAUCAUUCACAGUGACUCAACUCCUGGAUUUUUGUAGUUUUUUAUCAAUCAUUUUUUUU